rnacentral:lncRNA from 1 species
AGGAGACUAGGCAACAGUGAGAAAAAAAUAAAGAGCUCAACGAGAGAGGGGUCGAGAGAGAGAGGGAGCAAACCCAAGAGUUCUCCCCCGGAGGGCCUCUAGCACUGUUGCCUUCUCCGAUAUAUAUAGUGGAGCGUGGUAUGGCGCCGUCAUUAAUGGCGCGGACAUUUGAAGAAUUGUCAAGUCACUGUAGACUGUCAGAGUCGCUGUAAGGUGUCAAAUCACCAUGGGGCUGUCAAAUCACUAAGGUUGACAAUGCCAUAGGCGGG